rnacentral:rRNA from 1 species
GCUUACCAUGCAAGUCGAACGAUGAAGCCCAGCUUGCUGGGUGGAUUAGUGGCGAACGGGUGAGUAACACGUGAGUAACCUGCCCUUAACUCUGGGAUAAGCCUGGGAAACUGGGUCUAAUACCGGAUAGGAGCGUCCACCGCAUGGUGGGUGUUGGAAAGAUUUAUCGGUUUUGGAUGGACUCGCGGCCUAUCAGCUUGUUGGUGAGGUAAUGGCUCACCAAGGCGACGACGGGUAGCCGGCCUGAGAGGGUGACCGGCCACACUGGGACUGAGACACGGCCCAGACUCCUACGGGAGGCAGCAGUGGGGAAUAUUGCACAAUGGGCGAAAGCCUGAUGCAGCGACGCCGCGUGAGGGAUGACGGCCUUCGGGUUGUAAACCUCUUUCAGUAGGGAAGAAGCGAAAGUGACGGUACCURCAGAAGAAGCACCGGCUAACUACGUGCCAGCAGCCGCGGUAAUACGUAGGGUGCGAGCGUUAUCCGGAAUUAUUGGGCGUAAAGAGCUCGUAGGCGGUUUGUCGCGUCUGUCGUGAAAGUCCGGGGCUUAACCCCGGAUCUGCGGUGGGUACGGGCAGACUAGAGUGCAGUAGGGGAGACUGGAAUUCCUGGUGUAGCGGUGAAAAUGCGUAGA